AGAGCGAACGCUGGCGGCAUGCUUAACACAUGCAAGUCGCACGGGCAGCAAUGUCAGUGGCGGACGGGUGAGUAACGCGUAGGUAUCUAUCCUUGGGUGGGGGACAACUGUGGGAAACUACAGCUAAUACCGCAUAACAACUGAGGUUCAAAGGCGCAAGUCGCCUGAGGAGGAGCCUGCGUACGAUUAGCUAGUUGGUGGGGUAAAGGCCUACCAAGGCGACGAUCGUUAGCUGGUCUGAGAGGAUGAUCAGCCACAUUGGGACUGAGACACGGCCCAAACUCCUACGGGAGGCAGCAGUGGGGAAUAUUGGACAAUGGGCGAAAGCCUGAUCCAGCAAUGCCGCGUGUGUGAAGAAGGUCUUCGGAUUGUAAAGCACUUUCGACGGGACGAUGAUGACGGUACCCGUAGAAGAAGCCCGGCUAACUUCGUGCCAGCAGCCGC
rnacentral:rRNA from 1 species